UACGUAGGGGGCAAGCGUUGUCCGGAUUUAUUGGGCGUAAAGAGCGUGUAGGCGGCUUUACAGGUCCGUUGUGAAAACUCGAGGCUCAACCUCGAGACGCCGGUGGAAACCGUAAGGCUAGAGUCCGGAAGAGGAGAGUGGAAUUCCUGGUGUAGCGGUGAAAUGCGCAGAUAUCAGGAAGAACACCCGUGGCGAAGGCGGCUCUCUGGGACGGUACUGACGCUGAGAGACGAAAGCUAGGGGAGCGAAUGGG
rnacentral:rRNA from 1 species